rnacentral:sRNA from 1 species
UGUGAGCCGGGUGAGGCCGUGGGCCUGCUGGCUGCCCAGAGCAUCGGAGAGCCCUCCACCCAGAUGACCCUCAACACCUUCCACUUUGCAGGCAGAGGCGAGAUGAACGUCACCCUGGGCAUUCCAAGGCCUGGUAGGAUCUCCAUUUAUCCCUCUGCCAACUCCUGCAUCCAAGUUCCUGGGGAUGCCUGUGAGACUGCACACUGCUGGGGGAAGGACUCAGGAACGUACACUGUUAACAAGCCCCACACAAGGUGCCUGGUUGCCCAACUCCAGGGGAACCGUGCCCCCACGUGGCCCUGGGCCCUGGCCCUUCAGGUUGCGGGAGAUUCUCAUGGUGGCCAGCGCCAACAUCAAGACGCCCAUGAUGAGCGUGCCGGUGCUCAACACCAAGAAAGCUCUGAAGAGAGUGAAAAGCCUGAAGAAGCAACUCACCAGGGUGUGCUUAGGGGAGGU